GCCAUUGCAGCUGAUGACUUAACUUUUUUCCCCAUCAGAUCGACCCUGUUGAUCUCAUUGAACUAUUUAGCCAGUUUUGUCUGAUGCAUUGGC
rnacentral:snoRNA from 1 species